rnacentral:rRNA from 1 species
UGUAAGCGUAUACCAAAGUUGUUGCAGUUAAAACGCUCGUAGUCGGAAUUUGGCAGUUCCGGAUGUGUGCACGUCGUGUGCGCACUUCGCGGGGAUUGCUUUUGUGGUCUUGCGUAGGAUGAGGCACUUUUAUUAGUGAACGUCCUCACGCAACCACUUUUUACUGUGAGAAAAUCAGAGUGUUCAAAGCAGGCAUUUGCCGUGAAUGUAUUAGCAUGGAAUAAUAGAAUAGGACUUGGUUCUAUUUUGUUGGUUUGUUGGGACUGAGUAAUGACUAAGAGGGACAGUUGGGGGCAUUUGUAUUUCGGUGCUAGAGGUGAAAUUCUUAGAUUACCGAAAGACAAACUGCUGCGAAAGCGUCUGCCAAGGAUGUUUUCAUUGA